rnacentral:rRNA from 1 species
GACGAACGCUGGCGGCGUGCCUAAUACAUGCAAGUCGAACGCAAAACUUUCACCGAAUGCUUGCAUUCACGAAAGUUUUGAGUGGCGAACGGGUGAGUAACACGUGGGUAACCUGCCCAGAAGAGGGGGAUAACACUUGGAAACAGGUGCUAAUACCGCAUAAUAACAAAAACCGCAUGGUUUUUGUUUGAAAGAUGGUUUUGCUAUCACUUCUGGAUGGACCCGCGGCGUAUUAGCUAGUUGGUAAGGUAAAGGCUUACCAAGGCAAUGAUACGUAGCCGAACUGAGAGGUUGAGCGGCCACAUGGGGACUGAGCCACGGCCCAAACUCCAACGGGAGGCAGCAGUAGGGAAUCUUCCACAAUGGACGAAAGUCUGAUGGAGCAACGCCGCGUGAGUGAAGAAGGUUUUCGGAUCGUAAAACUCUGUUGUUAGAGAAGAACGUGUGUGAGAGUAACUGCUCAUGCAGUGACGGUAUCUAACCAGAAAGCCACGGCUAACUAUGUGCCAGCCGCCGCAGUAA